rnacentral:rRNA from 1 species
UUAAGUGAAUAAGGGCGCACGGUGGAUGCCUUGGCACUAGGAGCCGAUGAAGGACGGGACUAACACCGAUAUGCUUCGGGGAGCUGUAAGUAAGCUUUGAUCCGGAGAUUUCCGAAUGGGGAAACCCAACAUCUUUUAUAGGAUGUUACUUUUCAGUGAAUACAUAGCUGAUUAGAGGUAGACGCAGAGAACUGAAACAUCUAAGUACCUGCAGGAAGAGAAAGAAAAAUCGAUUCCCUGAGUAGCGGCGAGCGAAACGGGAAAAGCCCAAACCAAGAGGCUUGCCUCUUGGGGUUGUAGGACUCCGAUAUGGUAGUCCAGUGAGAUAGUCGAAGGACCUGGAAAGGUCUGCUAGAAAGGGUAAAAGCCCCGUAGACAAAAUUUGACUGGCACCUAGGAGGAUCCUGAGUACGGCGGAACACGAGGAAUUCCGUCGGAAUCCGGGAGGACCAUCUCCCAAGGCUAAAUACUCCCUAGUGACCGAUAGUGAACCAGUACCGUGAGGGAAAGGUGAAAAGCACCCCGGAAGGGGAGUGAAAUAGAUCCUGAAACCGUGUGCCUACAACAAGUUAGAGCCCGUUAAUGGGUGAUAGCGUGCCUUUUGUAGAAUGAACCGGCGAGUUACGAUUACUUGCGAGGUUAAGUUGAAAAGACGGAGCCGCAGCGAAAGCGAGUCUGAAUAGGGCGAAUGAGUAAGUGGUCGUAGACCCGAAACCAUGUGAUCUACCCAUGUCCAGGUUGAAGGUGCGGUAAAACGCACUGGAGGACCGAACCCACGUACGUUGAAAAGUGCGGGGAUGAGGUGUGGGUAGCGGAGAAAUUCCAAACGAACUUGGAGAUAGCUGGUUCUCUCCGAAAUAGCUUUAGGGCUAGCCUCAGAGUAAGAAUGAUGGAGGUAGAGCACUGUUUGGACUAGGGGCCCAUCUCGGGUUACCGAAUUCAGAUAAACUCCGAAUGCCAUCCAUUCAUCUCUGGGAGUCAGACUGUGAGUGAUAAGAUCCAUAGUCGAAAGGGAAACAGCCCAGACCACCAGCUAAGGUCCCCAAAUAACUAUUAAGUGGAAAAGGAUGUGGGGUUGCACAGACAACUAGGAUGUUGGCUUAGAAGCAGCCACCAUUUAAAGAGUGCGUAAUAGCUCACUAGUCGAGUGACCCUGCGCCGAAAAUGUACCGGGGCUAAAUAGUUUACCGAAGCUGUGGAACACACCAAUGGUGUGUUGGUAGGAGAGCGUUCUAAGGGCGUUGAAGGUAGAUCGUGAGGACUGCUGGAGCGCUUAGAAGUGAGAAUGCCGGUAUGAGUAGCGAAAGACAGGUGAGAAUCCUGUCCACCGAAUGACUAAGGUUUCCUGGGGAAGGCUCGUCCGCCCAGGGUUAGUCGGGACCUAAGCCGAGGCCGAAAGGCGUAGGCGAUGGAUAACAGGUUGAUAUUCCUGUACCCGUUGUUUUUGUUUGAGCAAUGGAGGGACGCAGGAGGCUAAGGAAUCAGACGAUUGGAAAUGUCUGUCCAAGCAAUGAGUCUUGAUGUGAGUCAAAUGCUUACAUCUCUAAGGACAAGUUGUGAUGGGGAGGGAAAUAAUAGUACCGAAGUUCCUGAUGUCACACUGCCGAGAAAAGCUUCUAGUGAGAAAACAAUGGCCCGUACCGCAAACCGACACAGGUAGUCGAGGAGAGAAUCCUAAGGUGAGCGAGAGAACUCUCGUUAAGGAACUCGGCAAAAUGACCCCGUAACUUCGGGAGAAGGGGUGCUGAUCUAACGAUCAGCCGCAGUGAAUAGGCCCAAGCGACUGUUUAUCAAAAACACAGGUCUCUGCAAAAUCGAAAGAUGACGUAUAGGGGCUGACGCCUGCCCGGUGCUGGAAGGUUAAGAGGAGUGCUUAGCGUAAGCGAAGGUACGAAUUGAAGCCCCAGUAAACGGCGGCCGUAACUAUAACGGUCCUAAGGUAGCGAA